GCUUACCUACCUGGCUCAUGUACUGUUUGUUUUUUGAAUUCACUACUUAAAAAUAUGGCAGAUCCUCAUUUUUCUAUGGCCUAGUCCGAAAAAAAAGCUUGCUAUGGCAUCAAAUGAUCUGGAUUCCCCUUGAAGUCUUUACUCUCUAUGCAGAAGGGAAUGUUAGAAAAAGCUGCCUCUCUUAAAGAGUCCAAACACAGAUUGGAGCAGAAGUCAUGGGUGUAAUUUUGAGAAAACCUUGUCCCAGACUGAGGUUGGCUGAGGUCUCCAAAGGUCUGCAUGCUGUGAGCACCCACUGCAGGCAAGGCACAAUACCAGGCACAGCAUUUAUAACCAGGUGGCGAGACAGACUACCCUUCUCCAGCCCGGGUGCUGAAGAUAGGACAACAAUUCAGUGACAACGCUAGGAAAACACAACAGAAACGUGGGAAGGGAGACUGCUGAAGUAUGGCGGUGGAUGCCAGGGGUGGAAGGAUCAGUCCUACUGAAAGCUGCGGCCAAAGGGUUCCCCUGUAUCCUGUCACCUCUUUGAACUUUUAGUUUGCCCAUUGGGCCCCGGCUGCUUAAUGGAAAGAAACAAUGGACAAUGGGUGGGGCCCAGAGCUCCCUGCCAUGCCUGAGUGCACGGGGUGUCAGUUCUGCCCUGCUCCUCUGCUGCAUUCCAGCUUCAUAUGUCAGCACCUCAUGAAAAUCUCCCAGGUUCCAGCUUUGAAUAGCCCCUUAGCUGCCUGGGAGUGAAGAGGCUGGCUCUGUUUUGCCUGUCAAAUCAUCUGCUUUGUCUGUCCAUCGGCAGGUCCUUUGAAUGAUCCUCAACUUGAUAAAGACUUUUCGCCGGCAUCAGAUAUGAACAGACCUGUUUGAUGUACUGGAAAGCAUGUUGAGCCAGGACCUUGGGUUCAAGGUUUGCAAUCUUGGAUUCAUCUCCUUUCCUCUCAGCCUCACUUAAAGCUGAUGAAAAUAAGGCUUAGAGAGAGGUAGUGACUUGCCAAGAUCAAA